rnacentral:rRNA from 1 species
UACAGAGGGGGCAAGCGUUAUUCGGAAUUAUUGGGCGUAAAGGGCGCGUAGGCGGCCCGGCAAGUGGAAGGUGAAAUCCCUCGGCUCAACCGAGGAACUGCCUUCCAAACUGCCUGGGCUUGAGUCCGGGAGAGGUGAGUGGAACUCCUAGUGUAGAGGUGGAAUUCGUAGAUAUUAGGAAGAACACCAGUGGCGAAGGCGGCUCACUGGUCCGGUACUGACGCUGAGGUGCGAAAGCGUGGGGAGCAAACAGG